UACGAAGGGUGCAAGCGUUAAUCGGAAUUACUGGGCGUAAAGCGUGCGCAGGCGGUUCGGAAAGAAAGAUGUGAAAUCCCAGAGCUUAACUUUGGAACUGCAUUUUUAACUACCGGGCUAGAGUGUGUCAGAGGGAGGUGGAAUUCCGCGUGUAGCAGUGAAAUGCGUAGAUAUGCGGAGGAACACCGAUGGCGAAGGCAGCCUCCUGGGAUAACACUGACGCUCAUGCACGAAAGCGUGGGGAGCAAACAGG
rnacentral:rRNA from 1 species